UGUGUCACACGGGACUGCCGGUCGUUAAGCCGGAGGAAGGUGGGGAUGAUGUCAAGUCAGCAUGGCCUUUAUAUCCUGGGCUACACACACGCUACAAUGGCCAACACAAUAGGUUGCUAAGCCGCGAGGUGGCGCCAAUCCAUAAAGUUGGUCUCAGUUCAGAUUGUAGGCUGCAACCCGCCUGCAUGAAGAUGGAGUUGCUAGUAACCGCAGGUCAGCUAUACUGCGGUGAAUACGUUCCCGGGGCUU
rnacentral:rRNA from 1 species